UCUAGAACCGAUAAUCCCCGUUAAACCUCACCACUUCUUGUCAUUUCCGCCUAUAUACCGCCGUCGUCAGCUUACCCUGUGAAAGACUAAUAGUAAGCAAAAAUGGCACACCCAA
rnacentral:rRNA from 1 species